CGUGCCGCGAGGCCCAAGAGCCCCGGGAGAGUGAAAGCACAAAUUACUGUUUAAUGGCUGACAGGGCGACGCGGAAAGAUAACGAAUGAUAGCGAGUCAGCAGCUCCGAGCUCGUUCGCUUCAUCUGUUUUUUCACAGCAUCCGAUAAACAAGAACAAGGAUGCGCAUUUAAUUGCAGCACUGCGGUAGCCUCUUUCUUUUUCUUCACCCCCCCACCGGAAGUUAAUAUGAGAUGCUGGAAAUAUGCAAAUCGGCUCCUUUCUUUGGAAGAAUCUUCGAAGGAUCACUCUCCACGAAUGAAUCACAAGGACACCGGCUCUUGAGGACUGGAGUUUGAGACUGCCAAGCAGACGGAGCAGGCAGGAGGAGUGGAGCGCGUUCAUCAGCUUAAAGCAACCGCUGAGGUCAUCAGGGUACGCUUGAUACGUUCAGCAGAGAUCGAGGAAGAUCACGUGGAAAACAGCAGCAGAGGAAGCUACAGAGCGGAACCUUUCAUUUCGGACUGCAGUUGAUCCAAAAUGAUGCAGCUGGAGUUCUGACUAAAACCAGGAAGAUGGAGAACAUCACACCAGUUCUAAGAACCAGAACCAAACAUGGAGAAGCUUCUAUUCAGGUUC